rnacentral:rRNA from 1 species
UACGGGGGGGGGCAAGCGUUGUUCGGAAUUACUGGGCGUAAAGGGCUCGUAGGUGGCCAACUAAGUCAGACGUGAAAUCCCUCAGCUUAACUGGGGAACUGCGUCUGAUACUGGAUGGCUUGAGUUUGGGAGAGGGAUGCGGAAUUCCAGGUGUAGCGGUGAAAUGCGUAGAUAUCUGGAGGAACACCGGUGGCGAAGGCGGCAUCCUGGACCAACACUGACGCUGAGGAGCGAAAGCCAGGGGAGCAAACGGGG